rnacentral:rRNA from 1 species
UGCGCAGGCGGCUUGUCAAGUCAUGUGUGAAAUACCCAGGCUUAACUUGGGGGGUGCAUAUGAAACUGGCGAGCUUGAGUGCAGGAGAGGGGAGCGGAAUCCCUAGUGUAGCGGUGAAAUGCGUAGAUAUUAGGAGGAACACCAGUGGCGAAGGCGGCUCUCUGGACUGCAACUGACGCUGAGGCACGAAAGCGUGGGGAGCAAACAGGAUUAGAUACCCUGGUAGUCCACGCGGUAAACGAUGGAUACUAGGUGUAGGGGGUGUAUGCCCUCUGUGCCGGAGCAAACGCAAUAAGUAUCCCGCCUGGGGAGUACGGCCGCAAGGUUGAA